rnacentral:pre_miRNA from 1 species
AUGAAGUGUGACAUGCCCAUGUGGAUUUUAUGACUCUGAUGUAUGUUUAUUUAUCUAAAUAAAGUAUAUUCGGGAAUGGGGUGUUACACUUUA